rnacentral:rRNA from 1 species
UUCCGUGGUGAACCUGCGGAGGGAUCAUUACCGAGUUUACAACUCCCAAACCCUUAUGUAACCUACCUAUCGUUGCUUCGGCGGACUCGCCCCAGCCGGACGCGGACUGGACCAGCGGCCGCCGGGGACCAUCAAACUCUUGUAUUAUCAGCAUCUUCUGAAUACGCCGCAAGGCAAAACAAAUAAAUUAAAACUUUCAACAACGGAUCUCUUGGCUCUGGCAUCGAUGAAGAACGCAGCGAAAUGCGAUAGUAAUGUGAAUUGCAGAAUCCAGUGAAUCAUCGAAUCUUUGAACGCACAUUGCGCCCGCCAGCAUUCUGGCGGGCAUGCUUGUUCGAGCGUCAUUUCAACCCUCGACCUCCCUUUGGGAAGUCGGCGUUGGGGACCGGCAGCACACCGCCGGCCCUGAAAUGGAGUGGCGGCCCGUCCGCGGCGACCUCUGCGUAGUAAACCAACCGCACCGGAACCCCGACGUGGCCACGCCGUAAAACACCCAACUUCUGAACGUUGACCUCGAAUCAGGUUGGACUACCCGCUGAACUUAAGCAUAUCAAUAAGCGGAGGA